rnacentral:tRNA from 1 species
GGGGAUAUAGCGCAGCUGGGAGCGCACCUGACUGGCAGUCAGGGGGUCACGAGUUCGAAUCUCGUUAUCUCCA